UCUGCCCUCCCUGAGAUGGGAACAAUCACCAGGAAAAACCAAGCAAGAUCAAGGGGGUCCUGUAUCCUCUCCCCACUGGGCAGAAGGCAGUAGCUUAAAGGAAAUGAGGGAAUAGAGGCAAGUCUAUGCUCAGGCUUGCAAGCAAAACUUGUCUUUGCCCGUCUCACCCUCCCAGGUGCCUCUGUACAACAGGGAAGAGGCUGUAGAUGUGGAAGGUAAGUCAAUUGUUAAUGUGGAUGAUGGUCCCUCUACACCAGAGGUGUUGCCAAGAUCAGAAAGGCUUACCCCUGUAUUGUGACAGGUACAUCAGGGUGGAUUAUAACUGCAGGUGACUCUCUUCUGAGAGGAACAGAGGGCCUGAAAUGCCACAGACCCUCCUGUGUGGGAAGUCUGCUGCUUUCCUGGGGCCUGGGUUAAGGCCAUCACUAAGAAACCUCCUAUCCUGGUAUGGCCCUCAGCCUGCUGCCCAUUAUUGCUCCUCCAUGGGGGUGGCGAUGAAGUUGCAAUGCACAGACCAAGGGCAAUCAAAAGAGACUUCAGGGCCUCGGGAAGGUUGGAAGCAUCACGCUCGCAAGCUCUCAUCCUGCUGGGGGCCUUCAGCCACCCCUGUGUCUGCUGGAGAAGUACCACUGUGAGCUGUAGGCAAUCCUGGAGUGCAUUGAGGAUAACUUCUUAAGCCAGGUGCUUGAGGAUGGGAUUUCAUAAAUGACUUGCAGGAGCCUUUCUUGUCUGUCCCUCACUCCAGUGUUGCCACAGCCUCUCUUGCUAAAGAACUCAGAGCUGUGCCAACAGGUCCAUGGGGUGACCUGGCUGAAAGCUGGCAACAUGGAAAGA